GGAUUGUGGCUCAGUGGCAGAGCACUUGCCUCGCAUGUAUGAGGCACUGAGUUCGAUCCUCAGCACCA
rnacentral:tRNA from 1 species